GACGAACGCUGGCGGCGUGCUUAACACAUGCAAGUCGAACGGAAAGGCCCUGCUUGCAGGGUACUCGAGUGGCGAACGGGUGAGUAACACGUGGGUUAUCUGCCCUGCACUUCGGGAUAAGCCUGGGAAACUGGGUCUAAUACCGGAUAGGAGCCAUUUUUAGUGUGAUGGUUGGAAAGUUUUUUCGGUGUAGGAUGAGCUCGCGGCCUAUCAGCUUGUUGGUGGGGUAAUGGCCUACCAAGGCGGCGACGGGUAGCCGGCCUGAGAGGGUGGACAGCCACAUUGGGACUGAGAUACGGCCCAGACUCCUACGGGAGGCAGCGGUGGGGAAUAUUGCACAAUGGGCGCAAGCCUGAUGCAGCGACGCCGCGUGGGGGAUGACGGCCUUCGGGUUGUAAACUCCUUUCGCUAGGGACGAAGCUUUUUGUGACGGUACCUAGAUAAGAAGCACCGGCUAACUACGUG
rnacentral:rRNA from 1 species